rnacentral:rRNA from 1 species
GAUGAACGCUGGCGGCGUGCCUAAUACAUGCAAGUCGAGCGAACGGACGAGAAGCUUGCUUCUCUGAUGUUAUCGGCGGACGGGUGAGUAACACGUGGAUAACCUACCUAUAAGACUGGGAUAACUUCGGGAAACCGGAGCUAAUACCGGAUAAUAUUUUGAACCGCAUGGUUCAAAAGUGAAAGACGGUCUUGCUGUCACUUAUAGAUGGAUCCGCGCUGCAUUAACUAGUUGGUAAGGUAACGGCUUAGCAAGGCAACGAUGCAUACCCGACCUGAGAGGGUGAUCGGACACACUGGAACAGAGACACGGUCCAGACUCCGACGGGGAGACACAGUAGGGAAUCUUCCGCAAUGGGCGAAAGCCUGACGGAGCAACGCCGCGUGAGUGAUGAAGGUCUCCGGAUCGUAAAACUCUGUUAUUAGGGAAGAACAUAUGUGUAAGUAGCUGUGAACAUCUUGACGGUACCUGAUCAGAAAGCCACGGCUAACUACGUG